rnacentral:rRNA from 1 species
UACGGAGGAUGCAGGCGUUAUCCGGAUUUAUUAGGUUUAAAGGGUGUUCAGGCUGUCUGGUAAGUCAGAGGUGAAAGUCGGUUGCUUAACGAUCGAACUGCCUUUGAAACUGUCAGACUUGAGUAUGGAUGUGGUAGNCGGAAUGUGUAGUGUANCGGUGAAAUGCAUAGAUAUUACACAGAACUCCAAUUGCGAAGGCAGCUUACCAAACCAGCACUGACGCUGAAGCACGAAAGCGUGGGUAGCGAACAGGAUUAGAUACCCUGGUGGUCCACGCAGUAAACGAUGCUCACUCGCUGUUGGCAAUACACCGUCAGCGGCUAAGGGAAACCGAUAAGUGAGCCACCUGGGGAGUACGAUCGCAAGAUUGAAACUCAAAGGAAUUGACGGGGGCCCGCACAAGCGGUGGAACAUGUGGUUUAAUUCGAUGAUACGCGAGGAACCUUACCUGGGCUUAAAUGUGAAGUGCAUUGUUUGGAGACAGACAUUUCCUUCGGGACUCUUUACAAGGUGCUGCAUGGUUGUCGUCAGCUCGUGCCGUGAGGUGUCGGGUUAAGUCCCAUAACGAGCGCAACCCCUAUUGUUAGUUACCAGCGCGUAAAGGCGGGGACUCUAACGAGACUGCCGGUGUAAACCGCGAGGAAGGUGGGGAUGACGUCAAAUCAGCACGGCCCUUAUGUCCAGGGCUACACACGUGUUACAAUGGUCGGUACAGAGGGCAGCUAGACAGCAAUGUCAAGCGAAUCUCAAAAGCCGAUCCCAGUUCGGAUUGGAGUCUGCAACCCGACUCCAUGAAGGUGGAAUCGCUAGUAAUCGCGCAUCAGCCAUGGCGCGGUGAAUACGUUCCCGGGCCUUGUACACACCGCCCGUCAAGCCAUGGAAGUCUGGGGUGCCUGAAGGCCGUAACCGCAAGGAGCGGUCUAGGGUAAACAGAUGACUGGGGCUAAGUC